rnacentral:rRNA from 1 species
GACGAACCGUGCGAACGUUGUUCGGAAUCACUGGGCUUAAAGGGCGCGUAGGCGGGGUCAUAAGUCUGUGGUGAAAUCCCCCGGCUCAACCGGGGAACUGCCGUGGAUACUGGUGACUCUCGAGGGGUGUAGGGGCAUGCGGAACUUCCGGUGGAGCGGUGAAAUGCGUAGAUAUCGGAAGGAACGCCGGUGGCGAAAGCGGCGUGCUGGACACCUUCUGACGCUGAGGCGCGAA